CUUAUUCAACCUAUAAUAUAUGCACCAGACAGCAUAAACGACUUACCAAAAUUGAAUAUUUGUUCAAACAUCAAGGUACCAUAAUUUUUAUUUGAAGAAUUGAAGUACGUAAGGUAUGGCAUCUUUGCACUAUAUUUACAAAAUAUAUGGCUUCCUUUUGGUCAAGAGACCAUUUAUAUAUAUAUAUUCAUUUGCUCAAAAUGUUAUAAAUUAAACAAAUUAAACAUCUUUUAUGAAUAACAAGAAAUUGCCGCCAUUAUUUAAUAUUGACUGUGCCUAUUCGCAGGUUCGAUGCCUGAAGAGUUUAGCCUGCAAACAGGCAGCUUUGGCGAGCGGGGCUAAUUUCACUUAUAUUUUUCGAUAAAAUAACAAGACAAAAGUUAAAGAUAAAUUAUUUAACUCGUGUCAAA